ACGGUUAACGGGGAAUUAGGGUUUUAUACCGGACAGGGAGCCUGAGAGAUUGCUCCCACGUCCAUGGACGGCAGCAGGCGCGAAAAUUGCCCACUCUUUGCAGGAGGCAGUUAUGAGACGUGAAGAGGAAUGUUUGGUAAAGAGAAACAGGAGAAUUGGAGGGCAAGUUUGGUGCCAGCAGCCGCGGUAAUACCGACUCCAAGAGUGUGUAUGAGAGAUGCUGCAGUUAAAAAGUCCGUAGUCUUAGAAGUGUAAAUUGGGGCGCUUGUGCCAGAUAGAUAUGAUGGAGGAGCCAAUGGGGAACAUAGUAUACCAGGGCGAGAGAUGAAAUGCCUAGACCCCUGGUGGACUGAGCGAGGCGAAAGCGAUGUUCUUGUGGGUGUUUGAUGAUCAAGGACGAAGGCUGGAGGAUCGAAAGUGAUUAGAUACCGCAGUAGUUCCAGCAGUAAAAGAUGCCGACAUGUGGACUGGCAACAGUUGACAGGGAGAAAUCUUAGAGUUCGGGCUCUGGGGAUAGUAUGCUCGCAAGAGU
rnacentral:rRNA from 1 species